rnacentral:rRNA from 1 species
UGAGGUGGACUGCAUACAAGUGACCAUGCAGGCAUGAGUAGCGAAAAACCGGAUGAGAAUUCCGGUCACCGAAAACCUAAGGUUUCCCGGGGAAGGUUCGUCCGCCCGGGGUUAGUCGGAACCUAAGGCGAGGCCGAAAGGCGUAGUCGAUGGAGGACAGGUUAAUAUUCCUGUACCACCUUGUUGGAGUGAUGGAGGGACGCAGUAAGUCAGGUGAGCCAACUGCUGAAUAUGUUGGUCGAAGGCCGUAGGGCGCACGAUAGGCAAAUCCGUCGUGCUUUCAACCCGAGAGUCGUAAGGUAGCCGAACGCAAGUUUGGCGAAUUCACUGUGACGACGCUGACGAGAAAAGCUUCUAAACGUUGAAAACAGGGUGUCCGUACCGAAACCGACACAGGUAGGUGAGGCGAGUAGCCUAAGGUGCGCGAGAGAAACCAACGUUAAGGAACUCGGCAAAUUGACCCCGUAACUUAGGGAUAAGGGGUGCCGCUUCAGGUGAAGGGACUUGCUCCCGGAGCCCGGAGCGGUUGCAACAAAGAGGCUGGUGCGACUGUUUAACAAAAACACAGCUCUAUGCUAACUCGCAAGAGGAUGUAUAUGGAGUGACACGUGACCAAUGCCAAAAGGUCAAUGGGAGAGGUUAGCGCAAGCGAAGCUUCGAUCUGAAGCCCUGGUGAAUGUCGGCCGUAACUAUAACGGUCCUAAGGUAGCGAAAUUCCUUGUCGGGUAAGUUCCGACCUGCACGAAUCGUGUAACGAUGCCAGCACUGUCUCAACGUGGAUCUCGGCGAAGUUGUAAUUCCGGUGAAAAUGCCGGAUACCUGCGGAAGGACGGAAAGACCCCAUGAACCUUUACUGUAAUCUGAUAUUGGUAUUUGAUUGCUCUUGUGUAGCAUAGGUGGGAGGCAGUGAAACCGCUACGCCAGUACCGGUGGAGCCACAGGUGAAAUACCACCCUGGUGUAAUUAGAUAUCUAACGGUGUCCCGUGAAUCCGGGCCCCGGACCGUGUCAGAGGGUCAGUUUGACUGGGGCGGUUUCCUCCUAAAUUGUAACGGAGGAGCCCGAAGGUACACUCAGCACGGUUGGCAAUCGUGUGCAGAGCGUAAGGGUAGAAGUGUGCUUUACUGUAAGACCGACAGGUCGAGCAGUUGCGAAAGCAGGGCCUAGUGAUCCAGCGAUGGAAUGUGGAAUCGUCGUUGCUCAACGGAUAAAAGGUACUCUGGGGAUAACAGGCUGAUAGCGCCCAAGCGUCCAUAGCGACGGCGCUGUUUGGCACCUCGAUGUCGACUCAUCACAUCCUGGGGCUGUAGAAGGUCCCAAGGGUUCGGCUGUUCGCCGAUUAAAGUGGUACGCGAGUUGGGUUCAGAACGUCGUGAGACAGUUCGGUCCUUAUCCUCCGCAGGCGCAGGAUAUUUGAUGGGAUCAUUCCUUAGUACGAGAGGACCGGGAAUGACUGACCUCUGGUGUUCCGGUUGUGGCGUCAGCUGCAUUGCCGGGUAGCUAUGUCGGGAACGGAUAAGCGCUGAAAGCAUCUAAGCGCCAAGCCCACCCAAAGACGAGAUAUCCCUUCCCGCAAGGGACUGAAGGCCGGUCGAAGACUACGACCUUGAUAGGACGGAGAUGUAAGCGCAGCAAUGCGUUCAGUUUACCGUUACUAAUCGGCCGUGAGGCUUAACCAC